UACAGAGGGGGCGAGCGUUGUUCGGAAUUACUGGGCGUAAAGGGCGCGUAGGCGGCCUCUUAAGUCGAACGUGAAAUCCCCGGGCUCAACCCGGGAACUGCGUCCGAUACUGGGAGGCUUGAAUCCGGGAGAGGGAUGUGGAAUUCCAGGUGUAGCGGUGAAAUGCGUAGAGAUCCGGAAGAACACCGGUGGCGAAGGCGGCCUGCUGGGCAGUUGCUGACACUGAUGGCGCGACAGCGUGGGGAGCAAACAGG
rnacentral:rRNA from 1 species